CUAGAACGGCAGGCCUUGAUCCCGCAAUAAUUUAGUUAACAGCUAAAAACUCCAUCCAGCGAGCCUCAUUCUA
rnacentral:tRNA from 1 species